rnacentral:rRNA from 1 species
UGGGGAAUAUUGGGCAAUGGGCGCAAGCCUGACCCAGCAACGCCGCGUGAAGGAAGAAGGCUUUCGGGUUGUAAACUUCUUUUAUGAGGGACGAAUAAAGUGACGGUACCCUCAUGAAUAAGCCACGGCUAACUACGUGCCAGCAGCCGCGGUAAUACGUAGGUGGCGAGCGUUAUCCGGAUUUACUGGGUGUAAAGGGCGUGUAGGCGGGAUGGUAAGUCAGAUGUGAAAACUAUGGGCUCAACCCAUAGCCUGCAUUUGAAACUAUCGUUCUUGAGUGUUGGAGAGGCAGGCGGAAUUCCGUGUGUAGCGGUGAAAUGCGUAGAUAUACGGAGGAACACCAGUGGCGAAGGCGGCCUGCUGGACAAUAACUGACGCUGAGGCGCGAAAGCGUGGGGAGCAAACAGGAUUAGAUACC